GAUGAAGAACGCAGUGAAAUGCGAUAAGUAAUGCGAAUUGCAGAAUUCAGUGAAUCAUCGAAUCUUUGAACGCACAUUGCGCCCGCCAGUACUCUGGCGGGCAUGCCUGUCUGAGCGUCAUUUCAACCCUCGCGCCCGGCUUCUGUCGGGGGCGGUGUUGGGGAUCGGCCUCCCGUCUUCCGGGCGGCCGGCCCCUAAAUGGAGUGGCGACCGCGCCGUAGCCUCCUCUGCGUAGUAGUGAAACACUCGCGGGCGGAGAGCGGUGCGGCCCGCCGUAAAACCCCCAACUCUUCUAAGGUUGACCUCAGAUCAGGUAGGAAUACCCGCUGAACUUAAGCAUAUCAAUAAGCGGAGGA
rnacentral:misc_RNA from 1 species